rnacentral:rRNA from 1 species
GAUGAACGCUGGCGGCGUGCCUAAUACAUGCAAGUCGAGCGAAAGGACGAGGCGCUUGCUUCUCUGUUGUUAGCGGCGGACGGGUGUAUAACGCGUGGAACACCCACCUAUCAUACUGGGAUCACUUCGAGAAAGCGUCGCUUAUAGCGGAGAAUCUUUUGAACCACAUGGUUCGAAGGUAAAAUACGGUGUUUCUGUAUCUACUCGCUGGAUCUGCGCUGCAUUGGCUAGUUGUUAAGUUAACGGCUUACCAAGGCAACUAUGCGUAGCCGACCGCAGAGGGUGGUCGGCGGCACUGGAACUGGGACGGGGUCCAGACGCCUGCGGGAGGGAGCAGAAUGGAAUCUUCCGCAAUGGUCGAAAGCCUUACGCAGCAGCGCCGCGUGAGUUAUGAAGGUGUUGGGAGCGUAAAACCCUGUUUCGAGGUAAGAACAGAUUUGUAAGUUGCCGAGGACAUCUUGACGGUACCUGGUCAGAAAGCCACGGCUAACUACGUG